GAUGAACGCUGGCGGCGUGCCUAAUACAUGCAAGUCGAGCGGCAACACGGUCUUCGGACUGGUGGCGAGCGGCGGACGGCUGAGUAACGCGUAGGAACGUGCCCCAAAGUGAGGGAUAAGCAUCAGAAAUGGUGUCUAAUACCGCAUGUGGUCUCCGGAUCAAAGCCUUCGGGCGCUAUGGGAACGGCCUGCGUCUGAUUAGCUAGUUGGUGAGGUAACGGCUCACCAAGGCGACGAUCAGUAGCUGGUCUGAGAGGAUGACCAGCCAGACUGGGACUGAGACACGGCCCAGACUCCUACGGGAGGCAGCAGUAGGGAAUCUUCCACAAUGGGCGAAAGCCUGAUGGAGCAACGCCGCGUGCAGGAUGAAUGCCUUCGGGUUGUAAACUGCUUUUGUUAGUGACGAUUAUGACGGUAACUAGCGAAUAAGGAUCGGCUAACUCCGUGCCAGCAGCCGCCGUAA
rnacentral:rRNA from 1 species